AGCAAUAUUAAGGUAAACAUACUUCAUGUAAAAGCAAUUGCGAAUUUUAUAUUUUAGAAAAAAAAUAACAUAAAGAAAAUCGAAAAUGAAGAUCUAGAGAUUGCAGAGGAUGGAGGCCCAAACAGAAACAGAAAAAAAUGGUAGAAAGAGAAGGCUCAGAUCAGGUAUGCCUUCAAAUCGGACAGGACAGAAACACCACAACCCCAAGGCUGCAAAAACCAAAGGUUGCCCCGCCAAGAAAUUGAGUAUUUCUCCUCGAGUACGACUUUUCAGGCUCACUGAAUAUAUCGUCAUAGCCUUGCCAGUCGACAGACAGCCACUCACACACACAAGAACGAAAGCAGAUAUAUUGGUAUAAGGGCUGUUGCCAACACAUGGUCCGUAAUGAGUAGUCACCGGCUCCGCUAUCGAUCAGAGAGGACAGAGUCAACCACCCUGAAACCAACCCCCCUCCUCACUGAGAGCAAAGCCUCUUACCUAAACCAUUCACACAGCAAUAUUAAGGUAAACAUAUUUCAUGUAAAAGCAAUUGCGAAUUUUAUAUUUUAGAAAACAAAUAUCAUAAAGAAAAUCGAAAAUGAAGAGCGAGAGAUUGCAGAGGAUGGAGGCCCAGACAGAAACAGAAAAAAAUAGGUAGAAAGAGAAGGCUCAGAUCAGAUAUGCCUUCAAAUCGGACAGGACAAAAACACCUCAACCCCAGGGCUGCAACAAAAAAAAGGUUGCCUCUCCAAAAAAUUGAGUAUUUCUCCCCCAGUCUGACUUUUCAGGCUCACUGAAUAAAUCGCCAUAGCCUCGNNNNNNNNNNNNACACACAAGAAAGAAAACAGAUAUAUUGGUAUAAGGGCUGUUGCCAACACAAGAUCCGUAAUGAGUAGUCACCGGCUCUGCUACCGAUCAGAGAGGACAGAGUAAACCACCCUGAAACCAACCCCCCCCCUCACUGAGAGCAAAGCCUCAUACCUAAACCAUUCACACAGCAAUAUUAAGGUAAACAUAUUUCAUAAAAAAGCAAUUGCGAAUUUUAUAUUUUAGAAAAAAAAAUAACAUAAAGAAAAUCGAAAAUGAAGAGCUAGAGAUUGAAGAGGAUGGAGGCCCAAACAGAAACAGAAAAAAACGGUAGAAAGAGAAGGCUCAGAUCAGGUAUGCCUUCAAAUCGGACAGGACAGAUACACCACAACCCCAGGGCUGCAAAAACCAAAGGUUGCCCCGCCAAGAAAUUGAGUAUUUCUCCUCCAGUCUGACUUUUUAGGCUCACUGAAUAUAUCGUCAUAGCCUCGCCAGUC
rnacentral:lncRNA from 1 species